GAAGGCCUUCGGGUCGUAAAACUCUUUCCUAAAGGAAGAUAAUGACGGUACUUGAGGAGGAAGCCCCGGCUAACUACGUGCCAGCAGCCGCGGUAAUGCGUAGGGGGCUAGCGUUAUCCGGAUUUACUGGGCGUAAAGGGUGCGUAGGCGGUCUUUCAAGUCAGGAGUGAAAGGCUACGGCUCAACCGUAGUAAGCUCUUGAAACUGGGAGACUUGAGUGCAGG
rnacentral:rRNA from 1 species